rnacentral:rRNA from 1 species
AAUGAACGUUGGCGGGCGUGGAUUAGGCAUGCAAGUCGAGCGAGAAGUUCCUUCGGGAACGGACAGCGGCGAAAGGGAGAGGAAUACCGUAGAAAUCGUACCCCUGAGACCGGGAUAGCGUCGGGAAACUGGCAGUAAUACCGGAUAACGUCUUAGGACCAAAGGUGUGAUUCCACUUGGGGAUGAGUCUACGCCCUAUUAGCUAGUUGGUGGGGUAAUGGCCUACCAAGGCAAUGAUGGGUAGCGGGUGUGAGAGCAUGACCCGCCUCACUGGGACUGAGAACUGCCCAGACACCUACGGGUGGCUGCAGUCGAGAAUCUUUGUCAAUGGACGAAAGUCUGAACAAGCGACGCCGCGUGCGGGAUGAA